UUAGAACACCGCCCUUUCACGGCGGUAGCCGGGGUUCGAUUCCCCGUGGGGACG
rfam:Chromobacterium aquaticum strain CC-SEYA-1 NODE_71_length_6132_cov_32.681671, whole genome shotgun sequence.